CCUCCUUCUGCUGAGGAGCUGUCAAAGGUUCAGAGGACUCCGUCUGUCUGCUCUGGUCCCUCAUAGCACCCGACUGUGUCUCCUGGCCCUUUCAUCCCUGCACCUAACGCUUUGUGAUGGACGCCGCCACCACCCAAAGUCUAGCCUCAGCCAAGCAGCCACCAUCCCUUCUCUCUGUGGCCGCCAGUGAAUCAGAAAUGGCUUUCUCUGCUCAAAGUGGAGCCAUUUGUGGGCACUGAAGUUUCAUUCCUCACCAUGAACAGCUAAUUCAGGAGGUGAAUGAUGUAGCAGCAAUGGACUCAGAUGGCAGAGGCAGAAGCUGCCAGUCUGGUGUCAUCUCAAACUUGCUGAUGUUGCCUCCAGUGCACCCUGAACCAGGGAGGCUGCCAGAGUCCCUCCUGGACAUAACUGCUGACUGAGACUGGCAGCCACGCCAUUGCAUCAAGUAUCAUCAACUGACAAGGACGAGCGCGGGCCAUGACAGGGCACUGCCCCCCCCCCCGGUUAAGCCGAUCCACAGAAAACAGAUUGUGGAUAAUAAAGCUCGGCGAAAAAUUUCAUGUCAAA
rnacentral:lncRNA from 1 species